GCUCAUAUAGAUUAAUGUAAAUCAUAACGCUGUUAACUUUGAGAUAGGCUUAAGUCCUUUUGAGCG
rnacentral:tRNA from 1 species